UGCUGUGAACUCGAAGAGUAGGGCGGGACACGUGGUAUCCUGUCUGAAUAUGGGGGGACCAUCCUCCAAGGCUAAAUACUCCUGACUGACCGAUAGUGAACCAGUACCGUGAGGGAAAGGCGAAAAGAACCCCGGCGAGGGGAGUGAAAAAGAACCUGAAACCGUGUACGUACAAGCAGUGGGAGCCUCUUUAUGGGGUGACUGCGUACCUUUUGUAUAAUGGGUCAGCGACUUAUAUUCUGUAGCAAGGUUAACCGUAUAGGGGAGCCGAAGGGAAACCGAGUCUUAACUGGGCGUUAAGUUGCAGGGUAUAGACCCGAAACCCGGUGAUCUAGCCAUGGGCAGGUUGAAGGUUGGGUAACACUAACUGGAGGACCGAACCGACUAAUGUUGAAAAAUUAGCGGAUGACCUGUGGCUGGGGGUGAAAGGCCAAUCAAACCGGGAGAUAGCUGGUUCUCCCCGAAAGCUAUUUAGGUAGCGCCUCGUGAACUCAUCUUCGGGGGUAGAGCACUGUUUCGGCUAGGGGGCCAUCCCGGCUUACCAACCCGAUGCAAACUACGAAUACCGAAGAAUGUUAUCACGGGAGACACACGGCGGGUGCUAACGUCCGUCGUGAAGAGGGAAACAACCCAGACCGCCAGCUAAGGUCCCAAAGUCAUGGUUAAGUGGGAAACGAUGUGGGAAGGCACAGACAGCCAGGAUGUUGGCUUAGAAGCAGCCAUCAUUUAAAGAAAGCGUAAUAGCUCACUGGUCGAGUCGGCCUGCGCGGAAGAUGUAACGGGGCUAAACCAUGCACCGAAGCUGCGGCAGCGACACUAUGUGUUGUUGGGUAGGGGAGCGUUCUGUAAGCCGUUGAAGGUGUCCUGUGAGGGGUGCUGGAGGUAUCAGAAGUGCGAAUGCUGACAUAAGUAACGAUAAAGCGGGUGAAAAGCCCGCUCGCCGGAAGACCAAGGGUUCCUGUCCAACGUUAAUCGGGGCAGGGUGAGUCGACCCCUAAGGCGAGGCCGAAAGGCGUAGUCGAUGGGAAACAGGUUAAUAUUCCUGUACUUGGUGUUACUGCGAAGGGGGGACGGAGAAGGCUAUGUCAGCCGGGCGACGGUUGUCCCGGUUUAAGCAUGUAGGCGGAGGUUCCAGGUAAAUCCGGUACCUUAUUAACGCUGAGGUGUGAUGACGAGGCACUACGGUGCUGAAGUGAUAAAUGCCCUGCUUCCAGGAAAAGCCUCUAAGCAUCAGGUAACACGAAAUCGUACCCCAAACCGACACAGGUGGUCAGGUAGAGAAUACCAAGGCGCUUGAGAGAACUCGGGUGAAGGAACUAGGCAAAAUGGUGCCGUAACUUCGGGAGAAGGCACGCUGAUGUGUAGGUGAAGCCCCUGCGGGCGGAGCUGAAAUCAGUCGAAGAUACCAGCUGGCUGCAACUGUUUAUUAAAAACACAGCACUGUGCAAACACGAAAGUGGACGUAUACGGUGUGACGCCUGCCCGGUGCCGGAAGGUUAAUUGAUGGGGUUAGCGGCAACGCGAAGCUCUUGAUCGAAGCCCCGGUAAACGGCGGCCGUAACUAUAACGGUCCUAAGGUAGCGAAAUUCCUUGUCGGGUAAGUUCCGACCUGCACGAAUGGCGUAAUGAUGGCCAGGCUGUCUCCACCCGAGACUCAGUGAAAUUGAACUCGCUGUGAAGAUGCAGUGUACCCGCGGCAAGACGGAAAGACCCCGUGAACCUUUACUAUAGCUUGACACUGAACACUGGUCCUUGAUGUGUAGGAUAGGUGGGAGGCUUUGAAGCGUGGACGCCAGUCUGCGUGGAGCCAACCUUGAAAUACCACCCUUUAAUGGCUGGUGUUCUAACGUAGACCCGUAAUCCGGGUUGCGGACAGUGUCUGGUGGGUAGUUUGACUGGGGCGGUCUCCUCCCAAAGAGUAACGGAGGAGCACGAAGGUUGGCUAAUCCUGGUCGGACAUCAGGAGGUUAGUGCAAUGGCAUAAGCCAGCUUGACUGCGAGCGUGACGGCGCGAGCAGGUGCGAAAGCAGGUCAUAGUGAUCCGGUGGUUCUGAAUGGAAGGGCCAUCGCUCAACGGAUAAAAGGUACUCCGGGGAUAACAGGCUGAUACCGCCCAAGAGUUCAUAUCGACGGCGGUGUUUGGCACCUCGAUGUCGGCUCAUCACAUCCUGGGGCUGAAGUAGGUCCCAAGGGUAUGGCUGUUCGCCAUUUAAAGUGGUACGCGAGCUGGGUUUAGAACGUCGUGAGACAGUUCGGUCCCUAUCUGCCGUGGGCGCUGGAGAAUUGAGGGGGGCUGCUCCUAGUACGAGAGGACCGGAGUGGACGCAUCACUGGUGUUCGGGUUGUCAUGCCAAUGGCACUGCCCGGUAGCUAAAUGCGGAAGAGAUAAGUGCUGAAAGCAUCUAAGCACGAAACUUGCCCCGAGAUGAGUUCUCCCUGAGACUUUAAGUCUCCUGAAGGAACGUUGAAGACGACGACGUUGAUAGGUCGGGUGUGUAAGCGCAGCGAUGCGUUGAGCUAACCGAUACUAAUGAACCGUGAGGCUUAACCUU
rnacentral:rRNA from 1 species